UACAGAGGGUGCCAGCGUUGUUCGGAAUUAUUGGGCGUAAAGGGCGCGUAGGCGGCCAUGCGUGUCUUCCGUGAAAUCCCUCGGCUUAACCGAGGACGUGCGGAAGAAACUGCAAGGCUCGAGUCCGGAAGAGGGGGGCGGAAUUCCCAGUGUAGCGGUGAAAUGCGUAGAUAUUGGGAGGAACACCAGUGGCGAAGGCGGUCCCCUGGGCCGGAACUGACGCUGAGGCGCGAAAGCGUGGGUAGCAAACGGG
rnacentral:rRNA from 1 species